UACGGAGGGUGCAAGCGUUAAUCGGAAUUACUGGGCGUAAAGCGUGCGCAGGCGGUUUGUUAAGUCUGUUGUGAAAUCCCCGGGCUCAACCUGGGAAUGGCGAUGGAUACUGGCGAGCUAGAGUGUGUCAGAGGAUGGUGGAAUUCCAGGUGUAGCGGUGAAAUGCGUAGAUAUCUGGAGGAACACCGGUGGCGAAGGCGGCAUUCUGGACUGUAACUGACACUGAGGAACGAAAGCCAGGGGAGCAAACGGG
rnacentral:rRNA from 1 species